GACGAACGCUGGCGGCGUGCCUAAUGCAUGCAAGUCGCACGCAGAGUGCUUGCACUCUGAGUGGCGCACGGCUGAGGAACACGUGGGAAUCUGCCCAACCGUGGGGGAUAACCCGGCGAAAGCCGAGCUAAUCCCGCAUACGCUCGCAAGAGGAAAGCACGUAAGUGCGCGGUCGGAGGAGCCCGCGGCCCAUCAGGUAGUUGGCGGGGUAAUGGCCCACCAAGCCGCUGACGGGUAGCUGGUCUGUGAGGACAGACAGCCAGACUGGGACUGAGACACGGCCCAGACUCCUACGGGAGGCAGCAGCAAGGAAUUUUCGGCAAUGGGCGCAAGCCUGACCGAGCAACGCCGCGUGGAGGAUGACGGCCU
rnacentral:rRNA from 1 species